rnacentral:rRNA from 1 species
AUUGAACGCUGGCGGCAUGCCUUACACAUGCAAGUCGAACGGUAACAGGUCUUCGGAUGCUGACGAGUGGCGAACGGGUGAGUAAUACAUCGGAACGUGCCCGAUCGUGGGGGAUAACGCAGCGAAAGCUGUGCUAAUACCGCAUACGAUCUACGGAUGAAAGCGGGGGAUCGCAAGACCUCGCGCGGACGGAGCGGCCGAUGGCAGAUUAGGUAGUUGGUGGGAUAAAAGCUUACCAAGCCGACGAUCUGUAGCUGGUCUGAGAGGACGACCAGCCACACUGGGACUGAGACACGGCCCAGACUCCUACGGGAGGCAGCAGUGGGGAAUUUUGGACAAUGGGGGAAACCCUGAUCCAGCCAUGCCGCGUGCAGGAUGAAGGCCUUCGGGUUGUAAACUGCUUUUGUACGGAACGAAAAGGUCCUUUCUAAUAAAGAGGGCUCAUGACGGUACCGUA